GGAAGGAGCCGAAGAGUGGAAGACGACAUUGAGCAGCAUCCGACAGGAGAUGACCAUGAUAGUGGACUCGACGGACAAGAGCUAUGUCGAGCAAGGUGCAAACUGUGGCUAGACGUUCUGGUUCAUGGACACGCACAAUCUGAAUGGCAGAGUGCCAAUAAAUGAUGAAACCCACAAGAUGGCCACUGAGACCAGCAGUUUGGUGCAUUCCCACACUUAGAAGAAGCACGAGCCGGCUGACGUGCGCUGACAGACCGGGAAGCUUCACCCCACCAUCUAGGUGGCAGACCGGCGUCAACAUCACACAGAUGAACUGCGUAGGGGGCUGCAGCUUGAAGGAGGGAUAUGAAGUGAGCAUGAGCUUCAGGCCAGGGCUCCUUCUCAGCCCUCCGGGGCCUGAUGCCAGGGACUGUGCUCCCUGCUUAUUCAGCCAGCAGUGGGACCGCAUGAGGGCUGCCAGGAAAGGACCAGAUAUUUCAUCCAUGGAUCCAUUUCCUUCGGGCUGUGAGGCUUAUUACCUGGAAGCUAAAGUAUGUUAA
rnacentral:lncRNA from 1 species